rnacentral:rRNA from 1 species
GACGAACGCUGGCGGCGUGCUUAACACAUGCAAGUCGAACGGUGAAGGGGUCUGCUUUUGUGGGCCCUGGAUGAGUGGCGAACGGGUGAGUAACACGUGAGUAACCUGCCCCCUUCUUCUGGAUAACCGCAUGAAAGUGUGGCUAAUACGGGAUAUUCUGGGUCUGUCGCAUGAUGGGUCUGGGAAAGAUUGCGCCUUUGGGUGUUUUUGGUGGGGGAUGGGCUCGCGGCCUAUCAGCUUGUUGGUGGGGUGAUGGCCUACCAGGGCGGUGACGGGUAGCCGGAGUGAGAGGGUGGACGGUCACACUGGGACUGGGACACGGCCCAGACUCCUACGGGAGGCAGCAGUGGGGAAUAUUGCACAGUGGGCGCGAGCCUGAUGCAGCGACGCCGCGUGAGGGAUGGAGGCCUUCGGGUUGUAAACCUCUUUCGACAGUGAAGCAGGCCUGCUCCUUGUGGGUGGGUUGACGGUAGCUGGAUAAGAAGCGCCGGCUAACUACGUG